AUUGAACGCUGGCGGCAUGCUCUACACAUGCAAGUCGAACGGUAACAGGCCGCAAGGUGCUGACGAGUGGCGAACGGGUGAGUAAUGCAUCGGAACGUGCCCAGUCGUGGGGGAUAACUACUCGAAAGAGUAGCUAAUACCGCAUACGAUCUAUGGAUGAAAGCGGGGGACCGUAAGGCCUCGCGCGAUUGGAGCGGCCGAUGUCAGAUUAGGUAGUUGGUGGGGUAAAGGCUCACCAAGCCAACGAUCUGUAGCUGGUCUGAGAGGACGACCAGCCACACUGGGACGGAGACACGGCCCAGACUCCUACGGGAGGCAGCAGUGGGGAAUUUUGGACAAUGGGCGCAAGCCUGAUCCAGCAAUGCCGCGUGCAGGAAGAAGGCCUUCGGGUUGUAAACUGCUUUUGUACGGAACGAAACGGCUCUGGUUAAUACCCGGGGCUAAUGACGGUACCGGAAGAAUAAGCACCGGCUAACUACGUG
rnacentral:rRNA from 1 species